UGGUUCUAACAUAAGAAUUUAACCUGUGCUGUCUCUUCCUUCAGAAUCCUAUUGUAUGUGAUAUUAUGUAACCUGCCUAUUUACCUAAUGACAGAUACAAAUGAUAUCUCUGUUUAAUUCAUUUGAAUGUUGUGUACAUGGGAACAAACAUCUUUUAUCCACAUUCACAUGAGCAAGUAUUCCUGUGAGGUACUGUGCUAGCUGUUCAGCCACAUCACAUUUAUGACAUUCUUAAAAGAACCUGUGAGGCCUAGGGUUAAUUUACCCAUAUAUAAAUGAGAAGAGGCUGAGAGUAUACAUUUUGCUCAAGGUCUCACAACUCAUGAGUGACAGGACCUAAUUGGAGUAGAAGUCUAACAACAGAACUCUUAUAUUUUCUUUCAUGCUUCUAUUGUAAACCAUGUUUAUAAAUUAUUUUUUCUUAGAUGAUUUUGUAAAGGUUCAUCUUCAUUUCAGAUAACUGCUUUCCUUUUUAGGUUGUGUCUCCCAUUUCAUCCUUCCAGACCACCCCAGAAGAUCUGUAAGAGUCCAUCUGGGAAAUCACUAGGAAUUCUUGGAAGGGAAAGAAGGAUUGUUGGU
rnacentral:lncRNA from 1 species